rnacentral:rRNA from 1 species
AAAGCGAAGAGUUUGAUCCUGGCUCAGAUUGAACGCUGGCGGCAUGCCUAACACAUGCAAGUCGAGCGGCAGCACAGCCCCGCAAGGGGUGGGUGGCGAGCGGCGGACGGGUGAGGAAUGCAUCGGAAUCUGCCCUGUCGUGGGGGAUAACGUAGGGAAACUUACGCUAAUACCGCAUACGACCGAGAGGUGAAAGCGGGGGACCCGAGAGGGCCUCGCGCGGCAGGAUGAGCCGAUGCCCGAUUAGCUGGUUGGUGGGGUAACGGCCCACCAAGGCGACGAUCGGUAGCUGGUCUGAGAGGAUGAUCAGCCACACUGGGACUGAGACACGGCCCAGACUCCUACGGGAGGCAGCAGUGGGGAAUAUUGGACAAUGGGGGCAACCCUGAUCCAGCAAUGCCGCGUGUGUGAAGAAGGCCUUCGGGUUGUAAAGC